GUCUACGGCCGUGCCCCGCUGAACGUGCCCCAUCUCGUCCGGUCUCGGAAGCUAAGCAGGGUCAGGCCUGGUUAGUACUUGGAUGGGAGACCACCUAGGAAGACCAGGUGCUUGUAGGCG
rnacentral:rRNA from 1 species